UGCCCAAUGCUCUGAAUGUCAAAUUGAAGAAAUUCAACCAAAUGCGGGUAAAUAGAGGGAGUAACUAUGACUCUCUUAAGGUAGCCAAAUUCCUUGUCAUCUAAUUAGUGACGCACAUGAAUAGAUUAAUGAGAUCCCCACUAUCCCUAUCUAGUAUCUAGUUUAACCACAGCCAAGGGAACGAGCUUGGAAAAAUCAGUGGGGAAAGAAGACCUUGUUGAGCUUGACUCUAGUUUGACUUUGUGAAAUGACUUGAAAGGUGUAGAAUACGUUGGAGACAUUUUCGGUGGAAGUGAAAUACCACUACUUUUAAUGUUAUUUUACUUAUUUCAUGGGGCGGAGACAUGGGCAUUGCCCCUGUUUUUGGCCUUAAGACACGUUUCAGCGGGUCAAUCCGGGUAGAAGACAUUGUUAGGUGGGCAGUUUGGCUAGGGUAGCACAUUUAUUAAAAGAUAACGCAAGUGUCCUAAGAUGAGCUCAACGAGAACAAAAAUCUCAUGUGGAAGAAAAGGGUAAAAACUCAUUUGAUUUUGAUUUUCAGUACAAAUACAAAUUGUGAAAGUGUGGACUAUUAUGAAAAUGAAGUUAUUUUGACCUUAGAUGGUGGUGCAUGUUUUCUCAAUGCAUAGCUUCACUUGUAAUAAAUAACAAGAAGCACAAGAAAUUCCUGCUACAUGCCUAUAAGUUUAGCUUCUCCUGCACCUUCCAUCAUUUUCAACCAACCUCUUGAUCCUUAUAAUUCAUUGGUGGAUAUGAAUUAAUACAUCAAUCAGAUGUUUGCAUGCAUUAACAUAGUUAAUUUAAAAUAUUAAUUAUUUGAGUAAGAUUAAGUGGCCAAUGCAUUUAAAGUAAUGGUUCAUGCAUCCCCGGGAGAGGAUAUAUAGGCUAAUAGGACUAGAGAUGUUU
rnacentral:ncRNA from 1 species